GUGCUCGCUUCGGGCAGCACAUAUACUAAAAUUGGAACUAUACAGGAAAGAGUAGCAUGGCCCCUGCACAAGGAUGACAGGCAAAACGUACAAGUAUUAGUUUU
rnacentral:snRNA from 1 species